rnacentral:tRNA from 1 species
GCGGCAGUAGUUUCCCGCCUAUGGCGGGNNGGUAGAAUGUCUCCUUCCCAAGGAGAAGGUCGCCGGUUCGAGCCCGGUCUGCCGCUCCA